rnacentral:rRNA from 1 species
UACGAAGGGUGCAAGCGUUAAUCGGAAUUACUGGGCGUAAAGGGUGCGUAGGCGGUUGUUUAAGUCUGUCGUGAAAUCCCCGGGCUCAACCUGGGAAUGGCGAUGGAUACUGGGCAGCUAGAGUGUGUCAGAGGAUGGUGGAAUUCCACGUGUAGCGGUGAAAUGCGUAGAGAUGUGGAGGAACACCGAUGGCGAAGGCAGCCUCUGGGCCAACCUACU